rnacentral:rRNA from 1 species
AGCAGGCGCGCAAAUUACCCACUCCCGGCACGGGGAGGUAGUGACGAAAAAUAACGAUACGGGACUCAUCCGAGGCCCCGUAAUCGGAAUGAGUACACUUUAAAUCCUUUAACGAGGAUCAAUUGGAGGGCAAGUCUGGUGCCAGCAGCCGCGGUAAUUCCAGCUCCAAUAGCGUAUAUUAAAGUUGUUGCGGUUAAAAAGCUCGUAGUCGAAUUUGUGUCCCGCGCCGCCGGUUCAUCGCUCGCGGUGUCCAACUGGCGUGUCCGCGGGACGUCCUGCCGGUGGGCUUAGCCCGCGAGGGCGGCCCAACUGCAAAUCCCGCCGCGGUGCUCUUCACUGAGUGUCGAGGUGGGCCGGCACGUUUACUUUGAACAAAUUAGAGUGCUCAAAGCAGGCCAAAAUUUUGCCUGAAUACUAAGUGCAUGGAAUAAUGGAAUAGGACCUCGGUUCUAUUUUGUUGGUUUUCGGAACUUCCGAGGUAAUGAUUAAUAGGAACGGAUGGGGGCAUUCGUAU